AUGUCUGGCAGCCUUCACCUUGUCGACAAUGGUGGGGAGCUGAUGCUGGUGCACAGAAUGCUGCGCCCAAGCAAUGAUAUGCAAGGUGCAGAAUACAAGAUGGAGCACGAGGUUUACAGGGUGGAUUUGAAUGCCAGGGAGUUGGUCCUGGUCAAGGGCUUGGGUGGGCGGGCCGUGUUCAUUGGCAGGCGCCGUGCCAUCUCUAUACCUGCAGAGGCGUUUCCGUCCAUCUCAGCCGAUACUCUCUACUUGGGUUUUGAUUGCCAUGAAAAGACCACGAUGAACCAAAUUGAUGGAUACAAUGUUAAGGAUGGAAGCAGUGAGCCACACUUUGAUACGGUGCACCCGUAUAGCUUGGUCGACUGCCUCUCGCGCUGCAUCCAAGGCAUCGAUGAAGAGAAUGGAAGGUACCUCACAGGAAAGAAAAGGCUGGGAUCACGAAUUGGUAAAUGGAAGAACCUCCAUUGGACACUCUGCAAAUCCUUGUCUGAGUGA
rnacentral:rRNA from 1 species